AGCGAACGCUGGCGGCGUGCCUAACACAUGCAAGUCGAGCGUGAAAAGGGAAACCUGAGUAAAGUGGCGUACGGGUGAGUAACGCGUAGGUAAUCUACCCCAGAAUCUGGAAUAACCUGCCGAAAGGCGGGCUAAUACUGGAUAGAGCGAGGGAACUCGUAAGAGAGUUUUUCGGGAAAGGGAGCCCGCAAGGGCCUUCGUUCUGGGAUGAGCCUGCGUCUCAUUAGCUAGUUGGUAAGGUAACGGCUUACCAAGGCGAUGAUGAGUAGCUGGUCUGAGAGGAUGAUCAGCCACACUGGAACUGAAACACGGUCCAGACUCCUACGGGAGGCAGCAGUGGGGAAUCUUGCGCAAUGGACGAAAGUCUGACGCAGCCACGCCGCGUGAGUGAAGAAGGCCUUCGGGUUGUAAAGCUCUGUCGGAUGGGACGAACAUCUUCAUAGUGAAUAGCUAUGAGGACUGACGGUACCAUCAAAGGAAGCACCGGCUAACUCCGUG
rnacentral:rRNA from 1 species